rnacentral:rRNA from 1 species
UGGAUCCAGGGGAUUCUGGACGAAUAUUACCAACAGCUGCAGUCGCCGCAGGACGAGAGCUUCCUCCCCGAGGUCAUCAACAUCUUCCUCCACCAUGCCGACAGGAUGCUCAACGACAUCACCAGCCUUCUGAACCUGCCCGUUGUGGACUUCGACGUGGUGCGCGAACUGGUGCAUCAGCUCAAGGGGACCAGCUGCAGUGUUGCUGCUAAGAAAGUUAACCUUUCAUGUGUGCACUUCUGCCAAUUCUACGAGGCAAAGUGCAAAGAAGGGUGCCGCAUGGCAUUGAAUCUUCUUAGGAAUGAGUUCUAUGAUGUGCGUGACAAGCUAGAGACCAUUAUGCAGUUGGAGCAGCAGAUUGUAGCCUUGGGUCCUAAGUAG